UACGAAGGGGGCUAGCGUUGCUCGGAAUCACUGGGCGUAAAGCGCACGUAGGCGGAUUGCUAAGUCAGGGGUGAAAUCCUGGAGCUCAACUCCAGAACUGCCUUUGAUACUGGGAAUCUUGAGUAUGGAAGAGGUGAGUGGAACUGCGAGUGUAGAGGUGAAAUUCGUAGAUAUUCGCAAGAACACCAGUGGCGAAGGCGGCUCACUGGUCCAUAACUGACGCUGAGGCACGAAAGCGUGGGGAGCAAACAGG
rnacentral:rRNA from 1 species